GCCAGACACGGUGACAUGCUCCUGUAGUCCCAGCUACUCAGGAGGCUAAGACAGGAGGAUUGCUUGAGUCCAGGGGUUCUGGGUUGUAGUGCGCUAUGCUGAUUGGGUGUCCACACUAAGUUUGACAUCAAUAUAGUGACUUCCUGGGAGCAGGGGGCCACCAGGUUGCCUAAGGAGGGGUGAACCAGCCCAGGUUGGAAACAGAGCAGGUCAAAACUCCUGUGCUAAUCAGUAGUGGGAUCACACCUGUGAAUAGCCACUGUACUCCAGCCUGGGCAACAUAACAAAACUCUGUCUCUU
rfam:Otolemur garnettii contig061639, whole genome shotgun sequence.